rnacentral:rRNA from 1 species
GGCCCUCCGCAUGGUAAUCACGGGAGGUCAUACCUGCACAAUGACCUACGGGUUCAAUUGCCGCGGUAACCUGACCGUGCAAAGGUAGCGUAAUAAAUAGCCUAUUAAUUGUUGGCCUGUAUGAAUGGUCUUACGCUGGCGGCGCUGUCUCUUCAGUAUUGAUUUGAAGUUAACUUCUGGGUGAAAAGGCCCAGAUUAGCCUGAAAGACGAUUAGACCCUAUCGAACUUUAGGUAGACCAGUUGCUAGGAAGCUAAAAAAAGCAUUUCCGCUCUGCUGUUAAACCUUUGGUUGGGGAAACCGGGGGUUAAGAAAACCGCCCCCCCCCUCUUGAAAAUAGACACCCGUUAUGUUAGGGGUAAUAAAGACUUUACCCCCAGGGCAAUAGGCCUUCAGGAAAGUUUCAGGAUAUUUUAUAAAAGAGUCUGACAAGACAUAAUUUACUUGUAGAAUGAACCUAAAGACCUGCUUAAAGCAGGAAACUAUUAAAUGGGAAGAGUUACCGUAGGGAUAACAGCGUAAUCCUCCCGGCGAGACCACAUUAAGGGGAGGGUUUGCGACCUCGAUGUUGGCUUAGGGCCUCCUAGAAGUGCAGGGGCUUCUAAGGGUUGGUCUGUUCGACCAUUAAAGCCCUACGU